UUAAGUGACUAAGCGUACACGGUGGAUGCCUUGGCAGUCAGAGGCGAUGAAAGACGUAGUAACUUGCGAUAAGCCCAGAUUAGGUAGUAACAACCAUUUGAGUCUGGGAUUUCUGAAUGGGGAAACCCACGUGCAUAAGCACGUAUCCUUACCUGAAUACAUAGGGUAAGGAGGCGAACCGGGGGAACUGAAACAUCUAAGUACCCCGAGGAAAAGAAAUCAACCGAGAUUCCGAAAGUAGCGGCGAGCGAAAUUGGACUAGCCCUUAAGCUUUACACGCGUUAGACGAACGGUCUGGAAAGUCCGACGAUACAGGGUGAUAGUCCCGUAGUUGACGACGUGUGUUCAGUGAAAUCGAGUAGGGCGGGACACGUGAUAUCCUGUCUGAAUAUGGGGGGACCAUCCUCCAAGGCUAAAUACUACUGACUGACCGAUAGUGAACCAGUACCGUGAGGGAAAGGCGAAAAGAACCCCUGUGAGGGGAGUGAAAUAGAACCUGAAACCGUGUACGUACAAGCAGUAGGAGCAGGCUUUGUCCUGUGACUGCGUACCUUUUGUAUAAUGGGUCAGCGACUUAUAUUCAGUGGCAAGGUUAACCAUCUAGGGGAGCCGUAGGGAAACCGAGUCUUAACUGGGCGUUCAGUCUCUGGAUAUAGACCCGAAACCAGGUGAUCUAGCCAUGGGCAGGUUGAAGGUUGAGUAACAUCAACUGGAGGACCGAACCGACUAAUGUUGAAAAAUUAGCGGAUGACUUGUGGCUAGGGGUGAAAGGCCAAUCAAACCUGGAGAUAGCUGGUUCUCCCCGAAAGCUAUUUAGGUAGCGCCUCGGACGAAUACUACUGGGGUAGAGCACUGUUAAGGCUAGGGGUCAUCCCGACUUACCAACCCUUUGCAAACUCCGAAUACCAGUAAGUACUAUCCGGGAGACACACGGCGGGUGCUAACGUCCGUCGUGGAGAGGGAAACAACCCAGACCGCCAGCUAAGGUCCCAAAUUACUACUAAGUGGGAAACGAUGUGGGAAGGCUCAGACAGCCAGGAUGUUGGCUUAGAAGCAGCCAUCAUUUAAAGAAAGCGUAAUAGCUCACUGGUCGAGUCGGCCUGCGCGGAAGAUGUAACGGGGCUAAGUAGUAAACCGAAGCUGCGGCAAUGUGCUUUUGCACAUUGGGUAGGGGAGCGUUCUGUAAGCGGUUGAAGGUGUGUGGUAACGCAUGCUGGACGUAUCAGAAGUGCGAAUGCUGACAUGAGUAACGAUAAAGGGGGUGAAAAACCUCCUCGCCGGAAGACCAAGGGUUCCUGUCCAACGUUAAUCGGGGCAGGGUAAGUCGACCCCUAAGGCGAGGCCGAAAGGCGUAGUCGAUGGGAAACGGUUAAUAUUCCCGUACUUCUUACAAUUGCGAUGGGGGGACGGAGAAGGCUAGGUGGGCCUGGCGACGGUUGUCCAGGUUCAAGUGCGUAGGCUUGAGAGUUAGGUAAAUCCGGCUCUUUUUAAGGCUGAGACACGACGUCGAGCACCUACGGGUGUGAAGUCAUUGAUGCCAUGCUUCCAGGAAAAGCCUCUAAGCUUCAGAUUGUAAGAAUCGUACCCCAAACCGACACAGGUGGUCGGGUAGAGAAUACCAAGGCGCUGAGAGAACUCGGGUGAAGGAACUAGGCAAAAUGGUACCGUAACUUCGGGAGAAGGUACGCUCUCGACGGUGAAGUCCCUCGCGGAUGGAGCUAUUGAGAGUCGCAGAUACCAGGUGGCUGCAACUGUUUAUUAAAAACACAGCACUGUGCAAAAUCGUAAGAUGACGUAUACGGUGUGACGCCUGCCCGGUGCCGGAAGGUUAAUUGAUGGGGUUAGACUUCGGUCGAAGCUCUUGAUCGAAGCCCCGUAAACGGCGGCCGUAACUGAUAACGGUCCUAAUGGUAGCGGAAAUUCCUGGUCGUAAGUUCCGACCUGCCACGAAUGGAGCGCGUAAUGAUGGGCCGAGCGCGGUGUCUGCGCGGGAGCGCGAGAGCGUCGGAGGAGGAGUUGAAAAUCGGCUGUGAGAGUGCAGGUGUACGCGCGGGCUAGACGGAAAGACCCCGUGAACCUUUACUAC
rnacentral:rRNA from 1 species